CCUGAGAAACCCAAAAGAUCGAAUGAGGAGAUUCAUCGUCAGGGUAUUUUGAUAUUAAUGUGAGUUAUGAUGUGAUUACACGUGCUUGUAUUAUUUUGUCAAAUACGUCGGCGUGCACUUCUCCUCUAGUAGAACGUUGCGACCCGUUGGAUGUUGAUCUAUGGCCCAAUCUUCGAUUAAUUGGAGACCAUUGGAAUUGGAGACCAUUGGUGUUCUGAUCAGCUGUUUGACGGGGUAAUAAGUUGCAAUUUAAUUUGCGUUAUUGCGUUAAGUUUGUCACAAGUGCGGUUAACUCAGCAGUACGGAUCUAAUGCCGUCGCAGAAACAGUGUUCUUUAACUGGCUUAUUUACCGGUCAGCAAUGCUACUGCUUUGGUAUCUCAGGACCCGUCUUGAAACACGGACCAAGGAGUCUAACAUGUGCGCAAGUCAUUGGGAUUUAAACCUAAAGGCACAAUGAAAGUAAAGAUCAUC
rnacentral:rRNA from 1 species